UCUAUCAGCAAUAUCCUGCCUAUAACUCUCACUCUGGUAAACUAACUGCUCUUCAGCAUCAAGAUCAAGUACCUGUUGCGUGAGCUUGACGUGGGGAUGAACACCUAUUCCCCCAGGGAGAAAUUCUUCGAAGAUUGAAGGGUAUUUUCGGAUGAAUUCAAUAGGGCGACUUGGGAUUUCGAGGGAGUCCUUGUGCUGAGUAAUGACGGAUAGAGGGAGGGAUUUUGCUGGCUCUGAUUUUAUGAGGUUCUUGAUGUUCAGCAUGGGCUUCAGAUGCUUUUCUCUCUGUACUGCAUGGUCGAGGCCCCGGUCGCGUAGAUGUUUGAUAGCAGCAAAGUCGACGAAGCCACGGUGGUGAGGGCGGCGGAGGAGGCAAUGUUUGGGGAGAUACCGUAAGAGGAACUGCAUUUUCUUUGUAGGUUAAGGUUGCCGCUGCUUUUUUUU
rnacentral:misc_RNA from 1 species